UCUUGGCUAUAGGAUUAGAUCAAACGCAGCUUUCCGAUCAAGACAACAUCGUCGUUGCCAUUAAAGAAGCUGGUAACAUCAAGAUGAGUGUAUUUCAAAUCUAUUGAGUUUUUGUGUUGUUUGAUUGUUAGAAAUUAUGGGUUCCAACUUUUCAGUUUUUGAAGUUACUUAAAGAACGUAUAUGUUCCUCGUUUCGGUUAUAACUAAUAAUAACUCCAUUCAUAAUUACAAUAUAACUUCAAAAUUGUCAAGAGAUUAUUAAACCUAUGAAUUAUUACUUUUGUACUUAUCAUACCAUCUAGAAAUUUUAUCCAUUCAACUUUGGAAACACACUUCACAUUUCGUAGAACCUGCCAAAACUGCUUUCGCAACAAGGCUCGGGUUCGCCGAGCCAUUCGGCUGAAAAAAUCCCUUAUACAUAUAUAGUUGCCAACUGUUUUACAGGUUGUUUCCCUUAUAAUUGUAUAGCUGCCAACUAUUUUGCAGGUUGUUUCCUUCAAACAUUGGCCCAAUACAGGGUCACCGCUCUCCAAUGGACAAAGUCGUUAGCUUAGGUGAUGGAAACACGAAAGUGAACCUAGGAAGCAUGGAAACGUGUAUGUACGCCAUACCUAAAGACAAGCGUUUUGUGUGCAUCAGAAACUUGGAAGGUUUUGAUGCCAUCAUGAAUUGUAGAAAAGAGAACCCAUGUUUGAUUAUAGGUAUGUUGCGAAUGGGUGGUCCGAUUUCAUCUGUCUAAACGCAAUAAAAGUCAGUGAUGUUUGCACGUUUGGUUUUCUCGAUGAUAAUUGCAUGUUGGAUACUGCAGACCAUUUACUUAUGUGUUGUAGUAGUUCUAGAGUCAUUUGGGACCAGGUGUGUUUAUGGACUAAGGGAUAAUGUGAUUACAAAAUGUGGUGUAAAAAAAUUUGAAACUGCAGUUUAGUCAACGCAUUGAAUUUGAUACUUUAGAGUGAUGUC